rnacentral:tRNA from 1 species
GCGGCCGUGGCGGAAUGGUAGACGCGCAAGCUUGAGGUGCUUGUGGGAGCAAUCCUGUGGAAGUUCGAGUCUUCUCGGCCGCACCA